UUCCUCUCCUUUGCUCUCUAAGUCUCUAAGUACAGAGAGAAAAAAAAACUCAGUAAUCACUUUCACUCGUGAUUUAGGGCGAUUUAGAGUUGGAUUUUGAGGAUGAUGAAGUUGAAGAAAAGAUAGAUUAAGGCAUUAUUUCAGCACUUGGAGGAGUCAUUUGGAGUUUCUGUAGUAGGAAUAGCCGUGCAAAGUGAACUACGAAGUUGAAGAUCAAGGUA